GUCAACUUUAACACCGAGAGCCAUGUAGCAAAGUUACACGCCAGCAGCAUUUAUGUGUGGUGAAAUAUUCAUAUAAAUACCCCUAUCUGCGUGAUAAAACUACAAAACAUUAAUGCUAAACAAGGAUUAGAGACCCUUUUAUACAAAUGUACACAUUAACUUUGCGGAGUACUACAACUAUCAGAGUUAAAACUUAACCAACAUGGCGGUAAUUUAAACUUAGGGGAACUUACCAAGUAAUUGAUAACCACCAUGGUUGAACAACUAUAAAAAAUUCUUGUAUGCCGUCGUCGUCAGGUAGCAUGCGAAGUUCUAUCUCAACAGUAAAUCUUAAAAGACAGAUCAAGGUGCAGACAAUUUUAUAGCUUCGGCGAGUUACAAUUCUUAAUACCAACGGAUAAGCGAUGUAAAUCACAUCUGAAGCUGGACUUAAAAGUAAUAAACAUUACUAUUAUUUUAUGAAUAU
rnacentral:rRNA from 1 species